rnacentral:tRNA from 1 species
GGCCCUGUAGCUCAGUUGGAUAGAGCACAAGUUUCCUAAACUUGGUGUCACAGGUUCAAAUCCUGUCAGGGUCA